GAUAAACGCUGGCGGCGUGCCUUACGCAUGCAAGUCGAACGGUCUGCCCUCUUGGGGGCAGGCAGUGGCGGACGGGUGAGUAACACGUACGUGACCUGCCGGUCAGUGGGGGAUACCCCUCCGAAAGGGGGGCUAAUACCGCAUCCCCUCCCCGGGGUGGCUCGGGGAGGAAAGCCUGCGGGCGCUGACCGAGGGGCGUGCGGCCGAUUAGCUAGUUGGUGGGGUAAGCGCCUACCAAGGCGACGAUCGGUAGCUGGGCUGAGAGGCCGGCCAGCCA
rnacentral:rRNA from 1 species